rnacentral:rRNA from 1 species
CAGCCGCCACGGUAAUACGAAGGGUGCAAGCGUUAAUUGGAAUUACUGGGCGUAAAGCGUACGUAGGCGGUUUGUUAAGUCUGCUGUGAAAUCCCCGGGCUCAACCUGGGAAUGGCAGUGGAUACUGGCAAGCUAGAGUGUGUCAGAGGAUGGUGGAAUUCCCGGUGUAGCGAUGAAAUUCGUAGAUAUUCGCAAGAACACCAGUGGCGAAGGCGGCUCACUGGCCCGAUACUGACGCUGAGGUGCGAAAGCGUGGGGAGCGAACAGGAUUAGAUACCCCCGUAGUCCCUGUCUCUUAUAA